AGUAAUUGCACAGCUGACAGAACCUCUCUUGUUACCUCUUAGGAAUGACCAUAAUUUAUAGCCUGCAAUGCCAAUGGGGGUCUCCCAGUGAACAUACAGCUACUCUGGGUGCAUUUCAGCGAGUCAUCUCGGGGCUAAAGACCUUCUCGUAUUUACCUUCUCGGGAAAACACAGAGUUCCUUGUUUGAGGAGAAUGAACAUCACUGAUAAGGAGUUCUGUAUUUACUGAACUGUGUGCUCCUUUUUCCUUCCAGGUAUCUACUGGUUUCCUGCCUUGACAGUUUGGUGCCAUUUCCUGAGACCUCCAAUUCUUCUCCCAGGUGCUGGUUCCAGCCUUGAGGUGACCAUGAGCAAAGCUGUCACUAUGGAGGCUCCCUCAUUCUAAAAAGAAGAAUUGUUUAUUUUUUCUGAAAAAACUCUCUAGGCCAUUCAUUUUAAGGCAAGGUAGGCUCUGGGCUCAGGAUCCUCUGGGCUAUAGACUUUAGAAUCUAGAAGCCCUGUAAUGGGGUAGGCAGGAAGAUGUAUCUCUGAACUUUGUGAACCUUGGUGAGAAGGUGAGGAGCUGAAGGCUCAUGGGUGACUAAAUGCUGCCAAAUCUGGAGGAAUCUGAGGGUCUCCAGGGAUUGUCAGUAUACUUAAGAGGCUUCCAUGUCCUCUGCUUUCUGAUAGAGAUAAACAUAUACAGAAGAAGCACUGAAGAAAGUUCAUUACGUUCAUCUUCAGGACCAGACAAUGGAAAGAAAGAUCUGGGGGCCAGCUCUGACCAGGGGGACAAAAGUCACCCAAGGUCACCCAAAGAGAGACACCUAGUCAUGGCAAAAUUUCUCUGAAGCAUUCAUCUUCUGUUCCUGCAUGGGUGUUAAAAACUCAAGUCCUGAUUUCUGUAAACUGGCAAACUCCCCACCCACUUGGUACCCAGGGCAGUGGCCUUUGGCUGGUGCUCUUACUGCUCUGGUGUUCAUUAAGUUCCUUCUACAUUUUGGGCCCCUGGAGAUUUCCCUUAAUUUUUUGGUGAGCUCACCUAUGCAUUUACAGGAAUGUUCGUUACGUAUAUCUAGUACUUCUAGCUGUUCUGUUGUGGGCAGUUUCUACGUAAUCACAUCCUCCAUAUUGCCAGAAAUGAAGUCUUUGGAAUCUAAUGUAAAGGGGAUGGAAAAAGAUCAACAAUGGACACCUUUUCUUGCUCUUAGCAGGGAGGGUCAGGCAUUGGUGAAGUCCUGAAUCAGGGUCUUCGAGGAAGCAGUACUUUCUCUCAGUCUUCUCCUCAGCAUGGAUAGAAGCAAAUCAUAUGAAGACCCUGCUUUGACAGUUCAGUUGCAGGUCCUUCUAGUUGUGGCAUGUGGGACGCCGCCUCAACGUGGCCUGACCAGUGGUGCCAUGUCCGCGCCCAGGAUCUGAACCAGCGAACCCUGGGCCACUGCAGCAGAGCAUGCGAACUUAACCACUUGGCCUCGGGGCCGGCCCCAUCCAAGUCGUUUUUAGGGCAUAUGUGAGCUUGUGACCAGAGGCAAAUGGCCAGAGCCACUGAUCCAACCGUGGAUGCCAGAAUGAUGUCCCAAGGCUCAAAUGGGGCCAUCGACACCUCAGGGAUGAGAUCCAACAACUUGCUCCGUGGUACAGACCAGUGAGGACCAGAGGAUGUCACUCAGGCAGGGUUAUGGCCCUUCAAUGCUUGUGAGUCUCACCUCUUCUGACUUUUGCUACUGGACUUGAUGGCGGCUCAGAAGAAUGCUGUGGAAGAAUUCUCAUAGGAAACCUGAAAAGCCUCCUGAGCUCUGAAGAGAUGCAUGGAGAAUUCCAUUUUACCGAGUCAAGAGGAUCAAUUAAAAUGCCACGUCUGCUAGGUUUAAGGUGAAAUAGAGCCCCUGGAGAUUCAGAAGGACCACUUCGAGAGUUUCUGCCUCAGGGAAACCUCCCAGAAUUGUAAACUGGUUGUUCAGGUGAUGAAAUUUGUCCAGAGUCUGUGCCACCCAGAUGCAAGAAAAUAAAUCCACAACUUUGGCCAAAUUGAUAAUGAGUAAUGAUUAACAAAAUGUUCUUUUUCCUGGCUGGACUCCCGGGAGAGAGACUUUGUUUCUCCCAGGUGGCUUAAAGAGGAGCUUGCCUUUGUGUGUUCUCCACAUUCCAGGAAAGAUGAAGGUAGAGCUAACGUCUCUCCUGCAGGCGAAGUUCCCUGUCCUAGGUGGUCUUUAUGGAUCAGGCUGCCUCCUAAUUACAUACUGAUCAUUUAAAAAGUGAAACUCCAGGGAGCGACGGGCCAGUGAGCAAUUCCUCUGACUCCUCAGAGCCAUCAGACUCACGUGAAGGAGCAACCUUGGUCCAAGUGAACAAGAAAAGAGGAAGUUCCCAAACCACUUGCAAAGGGUUGAGGCCGAAGAACAGAUGUCUCUGGGCUGCCCAGACGUCGGCCGCAUGGCCCAGCAGUGCUGCCGCUGCCGAAACCCCAAGUCUGCAAGUCAGGGUGGUCUGGAAGUGAAGGAUUGUUUUCCUGAGAGUGGUUUCAAGAAUGCAACUCCUCACCUAAUAAAAAGAAUGUGCAAUGAUUAACUGAGUCUAAUAUUAGCAUCUGCAAAAUAAAGAGCAAUUGGGCCUGCUAUUAAAGAACAAACCUUGCAUGCACCCGCUGCCAGGUAAAAUCUGUUCUUUCUCAGUCAUAAAUCUUUCUUGGACGCCAGAGAAGAAUUUCACUUCCGUCAGAAACACUGGGUGAACCGAAGAAAAAGAACAUGCUGUUUUGGAGAUGAAAGCGACUUGAGUUUAAAGGUCUUGGUGCCUUUUCUGUCUGUUUUGCUUGCUUUCUCUGUGGUGUCCUUGACUUGGCCAUGCCUUGCAUUGUUUGUUGGAUGAUGAGGCAGCAGUGGGAAAAGGUCAGGAUGGGUCAUUUGCUUCAGGCUGUAGCUUCAGGCAGAGAACUAGCAUCUGACAUCGAAUCUCACUGUUCUCCAGGGUGGACCCUUGGUGAAACAUCUUUGAACACCGAACCCUUGAUAAUUGUGAAGAAUACAUUAAGAGACUUUAGGAUUUUCCUAAACUUGAGAACUCCAUCCACUAAUUGAGAUGCAGAAGUUGAAUUGAUUUGUUCAUCAAAUAAGGUUACCACUCUUGCUGAACCAGAGACUCAAAUUGGUAGUUGCCACUUUACUUGUAUUACCUAAUCUGACUUCAUGAAACGCUUUGAUGUAAGGCAGUGGUUUUCAAAGUAUGGGCCUCACAAUACCAGCAUCACCCGAGAACUUGCUAGAAAUGUACAUCCUUGGGUCCCAUUCCAGACUUACUGGGCCAGCAAUCUCCCUCUUCAGUAAGUCCUCCAAGUGUUUCUGAUGGACGCUAAAGUUUGGGAACCACUAAUGUAGGAAACAUUAUCACCAUAAAACAUAUUAUAUGCUGUGAUGUCUUGGAACUUUGAAGUCUCUCUUAUAGCUAAAACUUUAAAUUCUAGCUUUCCAAGGAUCUUCAGUACCAUGCGUGCAGUAGGCAGUCAAUAAAUGUUCCCUAUAGAUGCUGUGUCUCUGAGAUAGUAAUCAUCUUUUAUUUUCCUCUUUUCCUCCCUUCCCUCCUUGCUCCCUCCCUUCCUACUUUCUUCCCUUUCUGCCUUCUUUCCUUCUCCUUCUUUUCUUUUUUGUCUGCCCUGUAUCACUUUGGGGAGCAUCUCUUCCCCUUUACAUAUAUUUUAGAUGGUGCUGAUAAUCAAGUGGGUCUGAUCUCACCUACCACUCAGUGUCCACUUCACCCAGGCUGGCCAAUCAAAGUGCUCCACUCUCUGGACACAGUAAUUGGUCCAGAGGUCCUAGCAGGGCCACUGAGAGCCUUUGGGUUGGGGAGAUCAAUAUGAACUUUAUGAAGGAAAGACUGUCUAUUCCCGACUUUGUGAGCACCAAGAAACCAGGUGAACUUGGAACUUCUUGGGGGCUCAUCUUCCUCCACAUGCAGAUGGUCUGCCUGGGAAUGAAGCCAUCUCAGAGGAAGGCAAAGCCAAGUUCUGGACGGAGAGAGGGCAGGGAGUUGAUGUCACCUUUUGAACCCAGAGCUUCACCAUGCCUUGAAGUCAGAAUCCGCUCUCUCCUUGGACGUCAUAUUCAAUUCAACGUUCCCUGGGAAUACCUUAAUCUGGGAUCCUGGGGACAUUCCUAUUAAUGAUUUUGUACUUAUUGAAAAAGUAGGAGAUACACAUACAAAUUGGUACCUAGUAGACUGUGUCAUUUAGAAAGUUAAAGUCCCUUGUGAUGAUAACCACUACUUCCCUGAAAAUCACUGUAUGUAGUUUUGUGCAUAUUCCUUUAGAUUUUUCUGUCAGUAUACUAAUAAAUUGCGAUGUUAACUGAGAAUUUUCUUGAUGCCGCAGUUUUUCUAGAAGCCAAUAAAAUCAAGGAUAAAGCAAUAGGUUCUAACACCUACAUUCUAGAGUGAGCUUGUUGGACUGUUCAUGCAGGAUUUGUAAAGCGAGUGAUCCAGGCCUGCCAUUAUUAGCUCAUAUAAGAGGUUAUAUUAAAAAAAGCCUAUGAAUUCAUGAGGGCAUUGACAAGGCCAAUAGGAGCACAUCUGUAGAGAACAUUCUCAGCAUGGCGAGGGCCACCCCCAUCCUGACAUAGGGGCAGAGAAAACUUCCCUUUCACCCUAAGCCAAGUAGGGGAGGUGACUUCAAGAAAAUCACUCAGGGGAUGUCUUAUGCAUCCACUGGAAUUUGGGUAUGUGGUACCUGGUACCUCAUUCAUCCUUUAUUGCUACCCACAGGGCAGCAGAGGGAAGAGAUGAGACUGAACUCAUAAUUUGAUUUAAUCUGACUUGAUUUCCUCUCUGACUGUCUGCCAACUGUUUCCAAUUUGGAACGGUUACAAAAUGUGAAAUUAUUCUGGCAGAAUGCAUCUAUCUGGUUUGGUUGACCCUUGGAAAACCUUCCUCCAUCAUAUCCAAUCAUGGAUUUCUCCUCCAAACCCAUGACCUUUCUUUUACACUCUCCUGAGUCAUUCUUCCCAACCUGGGUCCCCGCCACUCAACAGACUCAGGCACCACACAGUGAGGUGGUUAUUAUUGUGUGAAGUUAUUUCGUAGGGCCAGUUACACUGGUCAUACACACAAUGACUUUAGAUAUGUGUGCACAGACAGUGGCAUUCUUUACAAUAAUUUCCAGGUCUAUGUCCCAAUUAACACCAGAAAUUUCUGGAACUAUAAUUCUUUUUCUGGACUCUCUAUAUACCUUUCCAUCCCCAGUUUCUUCUCCAUGUACCCAAAUAAACUCCACUGCAUAAAGUUCUUGAAUUCUGCUUAUGGGAUCUCCCCUCACUGAAUCCCCUCUUUUCUGUGCAUCUAGCUAUUAGGUUCUACUCCCUUAUAGACGCUGUAAGAAUAUUGUUUAUAAUAACCAUUUAUUAAUUUUAAAUAAGUGCACUUUUGCCACAUUAUCCCAUCUCUUACUCAUAAAAUCCUUCUGAGGUAACUCUGUCUCCAUUUUGAAGAUGGAAAAAGAGAGGCUCGGAGGGAUUGAAUGAUUUGCCCAGUGUCACACAGCAAGUAAGUAGUGGAGGUAGGACAAGGACUCAGAUUUUCCUUCCUUGUAAGAUCUAUCUUCUUUUCCUUACGACCCCAUCUCCUCACUGCCUACUCUCUGAAGCCACAGGAUUACAUUCAGGUCCACCAGUUUCAGCUAUUUCUCUCUGCUCUAUAUCUCUAUCCUUUCUCUUCAAACUCUCUAGAAAUACUUCAAACUCUUUCAGAAGUUUCUAUUAGUAGAGUUAUAUUUCAAGCACUCUGAUCCUGGUCAGACUUCGGGCUGCCAGUCUACAAAAGAAUUUUCGGGAGCAAAUUGCUUCUGCUGAUCAGUCCAACUUGAAUAUUUGAGACUUUUGUUCUAUUAACUUUUCUUCAGAGGUGUUUUCUUUUUUAAAAGAAAAAUAUUUCCCUCCGAACAGAAAAGAGUUGAAAUUCCCAUUUGUGGGAUGGGGGAGGUUUCUAAAAAAAAUCAAGACGUUUCUAAAAACAACAACUUGAGCAAAUAUCUGAAAAAUGCUAGUAAAUUAAAAUAUUCACUCAAAAAUCAUUGUUUCAUCAUCAUUCUGUAUGUAUAUAACAUAUUUACUUUUUCUCUUCCCAUAUCACUCUUGGCUACCAGCAGUUUUUAUGAAAUCUUUGUUCUAUAUAAUUGUUUUUUUGUCAACUUUUCAAUUAACAAAGAGAAAAAAAGGAUGAUCUUUAAUAAUAUUACUUGCUUUUGACUUUUGAUAUAACAUUCUAAAAUUGUUGACACUGAAUAAUAAUGGAAAUAAAGAGUAAAAAGGGCUUAUUACUUGUGUGUAACUGCCUGAACGGACGCUAAGUGAUUUAUACAAUUGAUUUCAAAAUUUAAAUCUUUUUUAAAAAUACACUUUCAAGUAUGUUGGUUUUCAUCUUAUCUGUCUAAAUAUUAGGCUUCCGGGUUUAUACGUCCACUGAAAGUGGCUCGGAUUAACAGCAUUUAUUCUUGGUUCUCGGGAAAAAAUGACAUAACCUAAUUUCGUAUGUCUAAAAACACGAGUUGCAAAACAGCAUUUACGGUAAAUGUUUACAAACACAGCCUCACUUGACCUUCAAAACAACCCAGUGAAAUAUUAUCAUUAUUUACAAGGUGAGAAGUCUGAAGGUCAGAAGGCCCUCAUUCUGUAAACAUUGAUUAAGGUUUACAGGGCCGAGGAGAAGAAAUCUUCAGGGCGGCCAUUUGGCCCAAUCUGCAGGCUUAAAAGGGAUGUUCACUACAGCUGUUUUUAAGUGGAGAUUUUGUCUGUGGAAACAGGGUCUGUUCCUGUCUCUGAUACCAACUUCAACCUAGAAUCACUCUUCUGUUUUUUCUCAAAAAGCUACAUGGCUGUCAUUUCAGAAACUGUGAUGGUCACUCAGAGGUACUAGGAGAUGGCAAGCUGGUAGGGUUGCCAGAUAGAAUAUAGGACUCCCAGCUAAAUUUUAAUUUCAGAUAAACAAUGGGUCAUUUUUAAGUAUAAGUUUGUCCCAAUAUCUCAGACAUACUUAUAUUAAAAAUGAUCCAUUGUUUAUCUGAAGUUCAAUUUUAACUGGACGUCCUGUAAUUUUAAUUUGCUAAAUCUGGCAAUCCUAUAAGCUGGCUUUGUAGGCAAGAAGCAGUUGGUGGCCUGGUUCAAGCUUUAAGGAGAGUGAUUCUACUAAUAACACCAUGCGAGGCAGACAAAUGCAGAAGCCAAAGCUGGACUUUGCUGCUUGGGUUCAUUUUGUGGUUCCACUGCUUACCAGCUUACUUCACCUCCCUGAGGCUCAGUUCCCUCCUCCGCAAAACAGCAGAUAACAGUAUCUAUUUCCUUAGGAUUAUUGUGAGAAGUAAAUAAAAUAAUCCAGCAUAUCUUUCCCAUGAUAAAUGCUCGAUAAACUUUGUUUUUACGUUAUUUCCACAUAGUGCGUCCUCUUCCCAGAGAACACAGUCACAAUAAUCCUUUGAAUUAUCCAUAAUAUAUCUAUAUCUAUGUCUGUAUCUGUGUCUACAUCUGUAUCUACAUCUGUAGCUAUAUAUGGAGUUUCUUACCGGCCAGGACACUUGUAACUAGUAACUGCA
rnacentral:lncRNA from 1 species